rnacentral:rRNA from 1 species
AAAGGAAAAGCGUGGGUAUCAAACAGGAUUAGAUACCCUGGUAGUCCACGCAGUAAACGAUGAUUACUAGGAGUUUGCGAUAUACCGUCAAGCUUCCACAGCGAAAGCGUUAAGUAAUCCACCUGGGGAGUACGCCGGCAACGGUGAAACUCAAAGGAAUUGACGGGGGCCCGCACAACCGGAGGAACAUGUGGUUUAAUUCGAUGAUACGCGAGGAACCUUACCCGGGAUUGAAAUGUAGAUGACGGAUGGUGAAAACCGUCUUCCCUUCGGGGCUUCUAUGUAGGUGCUGCAUGGUAGUCGUCUAGACUCGUGCAUCUGGUAGUGUGCCUAUAUCACAG